CUGCCCAGAAGCGGGGGACAACAUUUGGAAACAGAUGCUAAUACCGCAUAACARCGUUGUUCGCAUGAACAACGCUAAAAAGAUGGCUUCUCGCUAUCACUUCUGGAUGGACCUGCGGUGCAUUAGCUUGUUGGUGGGGUAAYGGCCUACCAAGGCGAURAUGCAUAGCCGAGUUGAGAGACUGAUCGGCCACAAUGGGACUGAGACACGGCCCAUACUCCUACGGGAGGCAGCAGUAGGGAAUCUUCCACAAUGGGCGCAAGCCUGAUGGAGCAACACCGCGUGAGUGAAGAAGGGUUUCGGCUCGUAAAGCUCUGUUGUUAAAGAAGAACACGUAUGAGAGUAACUGUUCAUACGUUGACGGUAUUUAACCAGAAAGUCACGGCUAACUACGUGCCAGCAGCCGCGGUAAUACGUAGGUGGCAAGCGUUAUCCGGAUUUAUUGGGCGUAAAGAGAGUGCAGGCGGUUUUCUAAGUCUGAUGUGAAAGCCUUCGGCUUAACCGGAGAAGUGCAUCGGAAACUGGAUAACUUGAGUGCAGAAGAGGGUAGUGGAACUCCAUGUGUAGCGGUGGAAUGCGUAGAUAUAUGGAAGAACACCAGUGGCGAAGGCGGCUACCUGGUCUGCAACUGACGCUGAGACUCGAAAGCAUGGGUAGCGAACAGGAUUAGAUACCCUGGUAGUCCAUGCCGUAAACGAUGAGUGCUAGGUGUUGGAGGGUUUCCGCCCUUCAGUGCCGGAGCUAACGCAUUAAGCACUCCGCCUGGGGAGUACGACCGCAAGGUUGAAACUCAAAGGAAUUGACGGGGGCCCGCACAAGCGGUGGAGCAUGUGGUUUAAUUCGAAGCUACGCGAAGAACCUUACCAGGUCUUGACAUCUUGCGCCAACCCUAGAGAUAGGGCGUUUCCUUCGGGAACGCAAUGACAGGUGGUGCAUGGUCGUCGUCAGCUCGUGUCGUGA
rnacentral:rRNA from 1 species